rnacentral:rRNA from 1 species
AACGAACGCUGGCGGCAUGCCUAACACAUGCAAGUCGAACGAGACCUUCGGGUCUAGUGGCGCACGGGUGCGUAACGCGUGGGAACCUGCCCUUAGGUUCGGAAUAACUCCCCGAAAGGGGUGCUAAUACCGGAUAAUGUCUUCGGACCAAAGAUUUAUCGCCUUUGGAUGGGCCCGCGUUGGAUUAGCUAGUUGGUAGGGUAAAAGCCUACCAAGGCGACGAUCCAUAGCUGGUCUGAGAGGAUGAUCAGCCAUACUGGGACUGAGACACGGCCCAGACUCCUACGGGAGGCAGCAGUGGGGAAUAUUGGACAAUGGGCGAAAGCCUGAUCCAGCAAUGCCGCGUGAGUGAUGAAGGCCUUAGGGUUGUAAAGCUCUUUUACCCGGGAUGAUAAGGACAGUACCGGGAGAAUAAGCUCCGGCUAACUCCGU